AGGCGAUGGAUAACAGGUUGAGAUUCCUGUACUGGUUAAACUUGUUUGAACAAUGGAGGGACGCAGGAGGCUAUCGAUGCGUACUGUUGGAUAUGUACGUUCAAGCAACAAGUCUGUAGGUGAGUCAAAUGCUUAUCUACUUAAGGACAAGUUGUGAUGAGGAGCGAAAUUUAGUAGCGAAAUGAGAGACGUCACACUGCCAAGAAAAGCUUCUAGUUAGAGUUUAAUCACCCGUACCGCAAACCGACACAGGUAGUCGAGGCGAGUAGCCUAAGGUGAGCGAGAGAACUCUCGUUAAGGAACUCGGCAAAAUGACCCCGUAACUUCGGGAGAAGGGGUGCUGAGCGCAAGCUCAGCCGCAGUGAAUAGGCCCAGGCGACUGUUUAUCAAAAACACAGGUUUCUGCAAAAUCGUAAGAUGAAGUAUAGGGGCUGACGCCUGCCCGGUGCUGGAAGGUUAAGAGGAUGGGUUAGCGUAAGCGAAGCUCAGAAUUGAAGCCCCAGUAAACGGCGGCCGUAACUAUAACGGUCCUAAGGUAGCGAAAUUCCUUGUCGGGUAAGUUCCGACCCGCA
rnacentral:rRNA from 1 species